GUGUACCACUAGUGAAAACAAAGAAUGAUGGGUUACAGGGGACUAGACUUCAGGGAAAUACCUUAAUGACAGUAACAAUGAUAUUACCAACUAGUAUGUAAUAAUCUCCUCACCCAGUGACAGCCUGAGCCUCAAAGGUCUCAAAACUGUAACGUUAGAAUAAUUUGAGUGUUCCUUCAAACACAUGGAAGCCUGGCUGCUUCCAUUUUUAACGACUAUACGGAAAAGAAGUAUCCCAAGGCAAAAAAUAACAACCAAAAAUAAAAAAUCACGAGCCUUCCCAUCCACUCAUUUACAAAAACAAUAACUUCAUUUUUCAGACUGGAAAUGCUUUAUUAAAGAGACUAUCAGAUUGGGAAUUCAAAUAGAGAAAAAGGAAGAAUCACCACCUAGACCCUUGGAGAAGUUUGACUGAGAAGUCAGAGUUGAGGCUUUGUACACUUAUUGAACCCUAAGGGCAGAGUUUCUUAGAUCAUGAAGUCUCGUGCUGAUCAGAAAUGUGCUACACAUUCAUGGGAGCCAUCAGUGCAAACACAAAGGCAUAGCUAUAUCUGUGCUCCUUCCUUUACACCACCAGUUGUGUGCUCCCACUACCUGUGGCCACUGGGGAACUAAACCAUCCAACGCCCUCAGAACAUUCCUUGACAGUGCUUUGGGAUGUAACUCCUGUACCUGUAAUCUCAGGGAUUCAUCCACCCUCCUCCCAUCAGUUGGCCAACCACGAUGUGGCAUGUUUCACGUAGCUUCUCAGUGCAACGAGG